UACGUAGGGGGCAAGCGUUGUCCGGAAUUAUUGGGCGUAAAGAGCGCGUAGGCGGUCCGAUAAGUCGGCUGUGAAAGUCUAGGGCUCAACCCUGGAAAGCCGGCCGAUACUGUCGGACUAGAGUCCGGAAGAGGCAAGUGGAAUUCCCGGUGUAGCGGUGAAAUGCGCAGAUAUCGGGAGGAACACCGGUGGCGAAGGCGGUUCUCUGGGCCUGUACUGACGCUGAGGAGCGAAAGCGUGGGGAGCGAACAGG
rnacentral:rRNA from 1 species